rnacentral:rRNA from 1 species
AGUUUGAUCCUGGCUCAGGAUGAACGCUAGCUACAGGCUUAACACAUGCAAGUCGAGGGGCAGCAUGGUCUUAGCUUGCUAAGGCCGAUGGCGACCGGCGCACGGGUGAGUAACACGUAUCCAACCUGCCGUCUACUCUUGGACAGCCUUCUGAAAGGAAGAUUAAUACAAGAUGGCAUCAUGAGUCCGCAUGUUCACAUGAUUAAAGGUAUUCCGGUAGACGAUGGGGAUGCGUUCCAUUAGAUAGUAGACGGGGUAACGGCCCACCUAGUCUUCGAUGGAUAGGGGUUCUGAGAGGAAGGUCCCCCACAUUGGAACUGAGACACGGUCCAAACUCCUACGGGAGGCAGCAGUGAGGAAUAUUGGUCAAUGGGCGCAGGCCUGAACCAGCCAAGUAGCGUGAAGGAUGACUGCCCUAUGGGUUGUAAACUUCUUUUAUAAAGGAAUAAAGUCGGGUAUGUAUACCCGUUUGCAUGUACUUUAUGAAUAAGGAUCGGCUAACUCCGUGCCAGCAGCCGCGGUAAUACGGAGGAUCCGAGCGUUAUCCGGAUUUAUUGGGUUUAAAGGGAGCGUAGAUGGAUGUUUAAGUCAGUUGUGAAAGUUUGCGGCUCAACCGUAAAAUUGCAGUUGAUACUGGAUAUCUUGAGUGCAGUUGAGGCAGGCGGAAUUCGUGGUGUAGCGGUGAAAUGCUUAGAUAUCACGAAGAACUCCGAUUGCGAAGGCAGCCUGCUAAGCUGCAACUGACAUUGAGGCUCGAAAGUGUGGGUAUCAAACAGGAUUAGAUACCCUGGUAGUCCACACGGUAAACGAUGAAUACUCGCUGUUUGCGAUAUACAGCAAGCGGCCAAGCGAAAGCGUUAAGUAUUCCACCUGGGGAGUACGCCGGCAACGGUGAAACUCAAAGGAAUUGACGGGGGCCCGCACAAGCGGAGGAACAUGUGGUUUAAUUCGAUGAUACGCGAGGAACCUUACCCGGGCUUAAAUUGCAGAUGAAUUACGGUGAAAGCCGUAAGCCGUAAGGCAUCUGUGAAGGUGCUGCAUGGUUGUCGUCAGCUCGUGCCGUGAGGUGUCGGCUUAAGUGCCAUAACGAGCGCAACCCUUGUUGUCAGUUACUAACAGGUUCUGCUGAGGACUCUGACAAGACUGCCAUCGUAAGAUGUGAGGAAGGUGGA